rnacentral:rRNA from 1 species
ACAGAGGGUGCAAGCGUUAAUCGGAGUUACUGGGCGUAAAGGGCGCGUAGGCUGAUAUUUAAGUUAAUUGUGAAAUCCCUGGGCUUAACCUAGGAAUUGCAGUUAAUACUGAGUAUCUAGAGUAUGGUAGAGGAAAGUGGAAUUCUCGGUGUAGUGGUUAAUGACGUAGUUAUGGAGAAGAGCACCGGUGGCGAAGGCGGCUUUCUGGAACAAUACUGACGCUGUGGCGGGAAAGCGUCGGGAGUCGUCCG